AUUGAACGCUGGCGGCAUGCUUUACACAUGCAAGUCGAACGGUAACAGGCCGCCAGGUGCUGCCGAGUGGCGAACGGGUGAGUAAUGCAUCGGAACGUGCCCAGUCGUGGGGGAUAACUACUCGAACGAGUAGCUAAUACCGCAUACGAUCUAUGGAUGAAAGCGGGGGACCGUAAGGCCUCGCGCGAUUGGAGCGGCCGAUGUCAGAUUAGGUAGUUGGUGGGGUAAAGGCUCACCAAGCCAACGAUCUGUAGCUGGUCUGAGAGGACGACCAGCCACACUGGGACUGAGACACGGCCCAGACUCCUACGGGAGGCAGCAGUGGGGAAUUUUGGACAAUGGGCGCAAGCCUGAUCCAGCAAUGCCGCGUGCAGGAAGAAGGCCUUCGGGUUGUAAACUGCUUUUGUACGGAACGAAACGGCUCUGGUUAAUACCCGGGGCUAAUGACGGCACCGGAAGAAUAAGCACCGGCUAACUACGUG
rnacentral:rRNA from 1 species